CCGCCCGGAUCCGCCCGGAUCCGCGCGGACGCGUCGGGCUCUUAGCCCGCCGGCCGCCUUCUUUCUCUGCUCGCGGCCUGCGUAGUGCGUCUGGUCCGAGCUCGACAGGCGCUUGCCUGGCCUCGGCCCGCGAUGCCCUGACUCGACCCAGCACCGUGUCCGAGCGACCGCGGAGAAGGAAGGCAGAAGUUCGCGAGCACGCCCUGAGGCGCGUGCGGACGCCGCCUACUCCGUGCUGCCCACGAGCAGUUAGGACUUAGUCAGUCGUUCGGUUAAAGGAGCUGUGAAGUCCAUCAGAGGCCGACAGGACGCAGCUGGCUGGACGCCGCAGGCUCUGCGCGCGUGCUCGGGUGGGAGGUGGAGGCAUGAGGCCAGCCGCAGUGCCCCUAGGGACCAAGGCCGCGCCUGGCAUUGACCACCAGCCCACUCUUUGGUGCCCAUACCUCCGCUCCUCCGCUGUCACAAAAAAAGGGCUUGGGGACAAUAAUGAGUGCGGUGCGCUUUUGCUCAGGCAAGGGUCUACAGCAUUUUCAGGAGCUAGAAUCCUAAGACCCGACUCCUUACCUCUGACUCCAGGAGUCAGAAUCCAUCCACAAAGUUUGUAUAGUUAAGUCCUCUACUUGAUACAUUUAGCUUGGACGGGCAGUUUGCAAUCCUUUGCAGAAUUUUACCUCUGUGAAGUUUAGUGUUUAUGUAGCUGAAUAAAGCAUUCCAAAAAGGUUGGAUAUAAAUUUUUGUUUUAUUGAGGUACUGGUGAUCAAAUCCAGUGCUUUGCACAUACUAGGCAAGUACUGUACCACUGAGUAAAACCCCCAGCCUUAUUUUAUUUUGAGAUGAUGUCGGCCUAAAUAGCCCAAGCUGGCCUUCAACUUGUGAUUCUCUUUCCUCUGUCUCCCUAGCAGCUGGGACUACAAGUUUGUGCUACAGUCCUGGGGCUAAUUAUUGUUUUACUUUGACUAAAGUUUAUCCAAAUAGGGCCAAACUUUUUCCACCUGCAAAGAGUGGGCUGGGGGUGAAUCCCUGCAAUCCUAGCAACUCAGGAGGCUGAGGCAGGAGGGUCUUGACUGCUAGGCCAGCAUGGGAAAUUUAGCAAAUCCCCAUUUCAAAAUAAAAAGACAAAGGGGUUGAGAUGUAGCUCGGUACAUCACCCAGUGUUCCCAGUAUCCAGGGUGGGGAUAAAACCUAAUUCAUCUUCUCAUAAUCAGAAGCCCCAGAUUUUCAGGAGCAAUCUGAAUUUCAGGUACUCUUUCCCAUUCACAAACCAGGACCCAAAUUGUGAUUCCAGUUUGAAGCUCAUCUUUAUCAAUGGUUUUGGCCUUUAAGAUGAAAGAGAACCAUAUGAGGGAGUUCAAGAGCCAGAGGAGACUGGGGUUGUGGCUGAGUGGAAGAGCAUUUGCCUAGCAUGUGUGAGGUGCUUGGUUGGAUCCUCAGUACUACAUAUAAGUAAAUAAAGUUAUUGUGUCCAUCUACAAGUUAAAAAAAAAAUGACCUAGAGAAACAUGUUAAGAAGGACAUACUAAUAAAGACGACUGGUAGAGUUAACUGGCAGUCUAAGUCACUGGUUUUCAAACAUUCUUUUACUAUGAAAAGAAUUUUUUUUUUUUAAUAUGUGCCCACAGGCUGGAGAUAUAGUUCAGUGGUAAAGGGCUUGCCUAGGAUGCACAGGCUUAGGUAAAUCCAAUUUUAAAAAAUACCCCUUAGAUAGAUUUUUAAAAUUUUUUCACCAUAAGUGUAAGUUGUUGCAAAACAUGUAUUUUCCAGCAUAAUCUAAAUACACUUAAUUAAAUGGUCACAUCAUUCUUUAACAUUUUUCCAACAGAAUAUAAAUACCUCAGAGAUUUCAUAACUUAUGUGACAGUCUCCAAGAUAACCCAGCCUUUGUAUAGUCAGUCCCCUUCCACGCUAGAACACAGUUGGUCUGUGUGACCCAUAGGUCACACGCACAGUAGAAUGGCAUCUCACUUCCAAGAUUAGGUUAUAAGACUGUGUCUUCCAUGUCAGGUGUCCUCUGGCUUGACUUGUUUUUUCAGAUUACACAGACUGGAGAAGCCAACGUUCAUGUCAUGAGAAACCUGUGGAGAGGCUGAUAUGAACAGAAGACCAUGAGUUUGGAAGAAAUUCUCUAGCUCCAGGCAAGUGUUGAGAUCACAAUAGCCCCCAAAACCAAAGCCUGACCCUGAGAAACUGUAGGAGAUAAGAAAUGUUUGUUGUUUUAAACUCUUAAAUUAGGGCUAAUUUCUUACACAGCCAUUGUCAUCUGAAUAAAAAAAUCCAUAAACAUGUCAUCUAGAUCCUAGGUUCAUCUUCACAUCUGUAAUGAUUGUGUGUGUGUGGUGCUUGGGGUCCAACCAAGGGCCUCAUACAUGCUAGGGAAGCUCUUACAACUUAGCCCUGAAAUAAAUUUUGUAAAAAUAAUGAUAAAUGCAUAUUAAUUGUACAAAUUAAUGGGUUUCAAUGAGUCAUUUCCAUGCGUGCAUGUACUGUGUGCUUUGUUCAUA
rnacentral:lncRNA from 1 species